CAGCAGCCGCGGGAAUACGUAGGGUGUGAGCGUUAAUCGGAAUUACUGGGCGUAAAGCGUGCGCAGGCGGUUGUGUAAGACAGGUGUGAAAUCCCCGGGCUCAACCUGGGAAUGGCAAUGGAUACUGGCAAGCUAGAGUGUGUCAGAGGAUGGUGGAAUUCCCGGUGUAGCGGUGAAAUGCGUAGAGAUCGGGAGGAACAUCAGUGGCGAAGGCGGCCAUCUGGGACAACACUGACGCUGAGGCACGAAAGCGUGGGGAGCAAACAGGAUUAGAUACCCGCGUAGUCCCUGUCUCUUAUAC
rnacentral:rRNA from 1 species